CCUACGGGAGGCAGCAGUAAGGAAUCUUGCACAAUGGGGGAAACCCUGAUGCAGCGACGCCGCGUGGAGGAUGAAGGAUCUAGGUCUGUAAACUCCUUUUAUCGGGAAAGACUUAGGACGGUACCCGAUGAAUAAGCACCGGCUAACUACGUGCCAGCAGCCGCGGUAAGACGUAGGGUGCGAGCGUUGUCCGGAUUCACUGGGCGUAAAGAACGCGUAGGCGGCCUGUUAAGUGUGAAGUGAAAUCUCCAGGGCUCAACCCGGAAACUGCUUCGCAUACUGGCGGGCUGGAGGAAUGCAGAGGUGAGUGGAAUUCCUGGUGUAGCGGUAAAAUGCGUUGAUAUCAGGAGGAACACCGGUGGCGAGGGCGGCUCACGGGGCAUUUCCUGACGCUGAGGCGUGAAAGCGUGGGAAGCAAACAGGAUUAGAUACCCUUGUAGU
rnacentral:rRNA from 1 species